UACAGAGGGGGCAAGCGUUGUUCGGAAUUACUGGGCGUAAAGGGCGCGUAGGCGGCCUUCUAAGUCGAACGUGAAAUCCCCGGGCUCAACCCGGGAACUGCGUCCGAUACUGGAAGGCUUGAAUCCGGGGGAGGGAUGCGGAAUUCCAGGUGUAGCGGUGAAAUGCGUAAAUAUCUGGAGGAACACCGGUGGCGAAGGCGGCAUCCUGGACCGGCAUUGACGCUGAGGCGCGAAAGCCAGGGGAGCAAACGGG
rnacentral:rRNA from 1 species